AGCGAACGCUGGCGGCAGGCCUAACACAUGCCAGUCGAACGAACUCUUCGGAGUUAGUGGCGGACGGGUGAGUAACACGUGGGAACGUGCCUUUAGGUUCGGAAUAACUCAGGGAAACUUGUGCUAAUACCGAAUGUGCCCUUCGGGGGAAAGAUUUAUCGCCUUUAGAGCGGCCCGCGUCUGAUUAGCUAGUUGGUGGGGUAAAGGCUCACCAAGGCGACGAUCAGUAGCUGGUCUGAGAGGAUGAUCAGCCACAUUGGGACUGAGACACGGCCCAAACUCCUACGGGAGGCAGCAGUGGGGAAUCUUGCGCAAUGGGCGAAAGCCUGACGCAGCCAUGCCGCGUGAAUGAUGAAGGUCUUAGGAUUGUAAAAUUCUUUCACCGGGGACGAUAAUGACGGUACCCGGAGAAGAAGCCCCGGCUAACUUCGUG
rnacentral:rRNA from 1 species